AGCGUAGAUGGAUGUUUAAGUCAGUUGUGAAAGUUUGCGGCUCAACCGUAAAAUUGCAGUUGAUACUGGAUAUCUUGAGUGCAGUUGAGGCAGGCGGAAUUCGUGGUGUAGCGGUGAAAUGCUUAGAUAUCACGAAGAACUCCGAUUGCGAAGGCAGCCUGCUAAGCUGCAACUGACAUUGAGGCUCGAAAUGUGGGUAUCAAACA
rnacentral:rRNA from 1 species